rnacentral:tRNA from 1 species
GCACCCGUAGCUCAGCUGGAUAGAGCGUUGGCUUGCGGAGCCAAAGGUCGUAUGUUCGAAUCAUAUCGGGUGUACCA